rnacentral:rRNA from 1 species
CCUACGGGGGGCAGCAGUGAGGAAUAUUGGUCAAUGGCCGUAAGGCUGAACCAGCCAAGUAGCGUGAGGGAAGACUGCCCUAUGGGUUGUAAACCUCUUUUAUGCGGGGACAAAGGUGUCCACGUGUGGAUGUUUGCAGGUACCGCAUGAAUAAGGCCCGGCUAAUUCCGUGCCAGCAGUCGCGGUAAUUCGGAAGGUUGGGGCGUUAUCCGGAUUUAUUGGGGUUAAAGGGAUCGUAGGGCGGUCUUUAAGCGUGCCGGGAAAUUUUGUGGCUCAACCAUGGGAGUGCGGUGCGAACUGGAGACCUUGAGUGCGCGGAAGGCAGGCGGAAGUCGUGGUGUAGCGGUGAAAUGCUUAGAUAUCAAGAAGAACCCCGAUUGCGAAGGCAGCCUGCCGCAGCGUUACUGACGCUGAAGCUCGAAAGCGCGGGUAUCGAACAGGAUUAGAUACCCCUGUAGUC